GACGAACGCUGGCGGCGUGCUUAACACAUGCAAGUCGAACGGAAAGGCCCUUCGGGGUACUCGAGUGGCGAACGGGUGAGUAACACGUGGGUGAUCUGCCCUGCACUUUGGGAUAAGCCUGGGAAACUGGGUCUAAUACCGAAUAUGAUCAUCGGCUUCAUGGUCGGUGGUGGAAAGCUUUUGCGGGGUGGGAUGGGCCCGCGGCCUAUCAGCUUGUUGGUGGGGUAAUGGCCUACCAAGGCGACGACGGGUAGCCGGCCUGCGAGGGUGACCGGCCACACUGGGACUGAGAUACGGCCCAGACUCCUACGGGAGGCAGCAGUGGGGAAUAUUGCACAAUGGGCGCAAGCCUGAUGCAGCGACGCCGCGUGAGGGAUGACGGCCUUCGGGUUGUAAACCUCUUUCAGCACAGACGAAGCGCAAGUGACGGUAUGUGCAGAAGAAGGACCGGCCAACUACGUG
rnacentral:rRNA from 1 species